UUUACCCAGUCUAGAACGCUGGGGGAAUAAGGAGAGGGCAAGUCUGGUGUCAGCCGCCGCGGUAAUACCAGCUCUCCGAGUGGUGUGGAUGUUUAUUGGGCCUAAAGCAUCCGUAGCUGGCUAAGUUAGUCCCCUGUUAAAUCCAACGAAUUAAUCGUUGGAUCGCGGGGGAUACUGCUUGGCUAGGGGACGAGAGAGGCAGACGGUAUUUCCGGGGUAGGGGUGAAAUCCUAUAAUCCCGGGAAGACCACCAGUGGCGAAGGCUGUCUGCUAGAACGCGCCCGACGGUGAGGGAUGAAAGCUGGGGGAGCGAACCGGAUUAGAUACCCGGGUAGUCCCAGCUGUAAACGAUGCAGGCUAGGUGUUUGGACGGCCACGUGCCGUUCUAGUGCCGCAGGGAAGCUGUUAAGCCUGCCGCCUGGGGAGUACGAUCGCAAGAUUGAAACUUAAAGGAAUUGGCGGGGGAGCACCACAAGGGGUGAAGCUUGCGGUUUAAUUGGAGUCAACGCCGGA
rnacentral:rRNA from 1 species